rnacentral:rRNA from 1 species
UAUACCGUGAAACUGCGAAUGGCUCAUUAAAUCAGUUAUCGUUUAUUUGAUAGUACCUUACUACUUGGAUAACCGUGGUAAUUCUAGAGCUAAUACAUGCUAAAAACCCCAACUUCGGGAGGGGUGUAUUUAUUAGAUAAAAAACCAAUGCCCUCCGGGGCUCUUUGGUGAUUCAUGAUAACUUAACGGAUCGCAUGGCCUUGCGCCGGCGACGGUUCAUUCAAAUUUCUGCCCUAUCAACUUUCGAUGGUAAGGUAUUGGCUUACCAUGGUUUCAACGGGUAACGGGGAAUUAGGGUUCGAUUCCGGAGAGGGAGCCUGAGAAACGGCUACCACAUCCAAGGAAGGCAGCAGGCGCGCAAAUUACCCAAUCCCGACUCGGGGAGGUAGUGACAAUAAAUACUGAUACAGGGCUCUUUUGGGUCUUGUAAUCGGAAUGAGUACAAUUUAAACCCCUUAACGAGGAACAAUUGGAGGGCAAGUCUGGUGCCAGCAGCCGCGGUAAUUCCAGCUCCAAUAGCGUAUAUUAAAGUUGUUGCAGUUAAAAAGCUCGUAGUUGAACCUUGGGCCUGGCUGGCCGGUCCGCCUCACCGCGUGUACUGGUCCGGCCGGGCCUUUCCUUCUGGAGAGCCGCAUGCCCUUCACUGGGUGUGUCGGGGAACCAGGACUUUUACUUUGAAAAAAUUAGAGUGUUCAAAGCAGGCCUUUGCUCGAAUACGUUAGCAUGGAAUAAUAGAAUAGGACGUGCGGUCCUAUUUUGUUGGUUUCUAGGACCGCCGUAAUGAUUAAUAGGGAUAGUCGGGGGCAUCAGUAUUCAAUUGUCAGAGGUGAAAUUCUUGGAUUUAUUGAAGACUAACUACUGCGAAAGCAUUUGCCAAGGAUGUUUUCAUUAAUCAGUGAACGAAAGUUAGGGGAUCGAAGACGAUCAGAUACCGUCGUAGUCUUAACCGUAAACUAUGCCGACUAGGGAUCGGGCGAUGUUUCUAUCUUGACUCGCUCGGCACCUUACGAGAAAUCAUAAG